rnacentral:rRNA from 1 species
GACGAACGCUGGCGGCGUGCUUAACACAUGCGAGUCGAACGAAGAGCGAUGGAAGCUUGCUUCUAUCAAUCUUAGUGGCGAACGGGUGAGUAACGCGUAAUCAACCUGCCCUUCAGAGGGGGACAACAGUUGGAAACGACUGCUAAUACCGCAUACGAUCUAAUCUCGGCAUCGAGGAUAGAUGAAAGGUGGCCUCUACAUGUAAGCUAUCACUGAAGGAGGGGAUUGCGUCUGAUUAGCUAGUUGGAGGGGUAACGGCCCACCAAGGCGAUGAUCAGUAGCCGGUCUGAGAGGAUGAACGGCCACAUUGGGACUGAGACACGGCCCAGACUCCUACGGGAGGCAGCAGUGGGGAAUCUUCCGCAAUGGACGAAAGUCUGACGGAGCAACGCCGCGUGAGUGAUGACGGCCUUCGGGUUGCAAAGCUCUGUUAAUCGGGACGAAAGGCCUUCUUGCGAACAGUUAGAAGGAUUGACGGUACCGGAAUAGAAAGCCACGGCUAACUACGUG